CUAGGGAGCAGGAAUUGCGCCGUAGAGUUACUCCGUCCUUGAAGCAAGGGGUCAGCCUCUGGUACCUUAGUGCUAGUCAACCUUUGUUGGAGGGAAGUUUUUCAAGGAAGUGGUAGCUGUGACACACUGUCAACUCUCAAAGUAGCUGGGAGAGCGGUGCGCCAGCAGCAUUUGGGACCUAAACAAUUGAAGAAAUUGUAGAGAAGUUUGUUAUGAGAACAGCAGGAAUGUACCAUAGAUUUACAGCAGACAAAAAGGUAUCUAAGAAUUACAUUGGGAAGAGUUCAGUUGACAUCCUCUGGCACUAACCAACUGCCCAGUUGCUCUUGGACAGGACAUGUGAAAACAGGUGAGUUUUUCCUGUGGAUUGUAUUCAGUUACUUUUUUUUGUGCUUGGAGUCAACUAUUGUUCUUUGAAUAACACUAUAUGUUUAAUUUGCUAACUAAAAUAGUUUUAUAUGU